AGCGUAGGCGGCUUUGUACGUUUGAUGUGAAAGUCCUGGGCUUAACCUGGGGACGGCAUUGAAUACGGCAAGGCUUGAGAUAUAGAGGGGAAGAUGGAAUUGUGUGUGUAGAGGUGAAAUUCGUAGAUAUACACAAGAACACCAGUGGCGAAGGCGAUCUUCUGGCUAUAAUCUGACGCUAAGGCUCGAAAGCGUGGGGAGCAAACA
rnacentral:rRNA from 1 species